UACCAGACUCCUACGGGAGGCAGCAGUGGGGAAUAUUGCACAAUGGGGGAAACCCUGAUGCAGCGACGCCGCGUGAGCGAUGAAGUAUUUCGGUAUGUAAAGCUCUAUCAGCAGGGAAGAAAAUGACGGUACCUGACUAAGAAGCCCCGGCUAACUACGUGCCAGCAGCCGCGGUAAUACGUAGGGGGCAAGCGUUAUCCGGAUUUACUGGGUGUAAAGGGAGCGUAGACGGUUCUGCAAGCCAGAUGUGAAAGCCCGGGGCUCAACCCCGGGACUGCAUUUGGAACUGUAAGGCUAGGGUGUCGGAGAGGCAGGCGGAAUUCCUAGUGUAGCGGUGAAAUGCGUAGAUAUCAGGAGGAACACCAGUGGCGAAGGCGGCUUACUGGACUGUAACUGACGUUGAGGCUCGAAAGCGUGGGGAGCAAACAGGAUUAGAUACCCCUGUACG
rnacentral:rRNA from 1 species